rnacentral:lncRNA from 12 species
GGAGCACUUGCCAUUGGCAAGGGCGGCGUUUGCACAGCCACGGGCUGAUGGCUUUCAGAAAUUCAGAGCAGGGUAGCCUGACCUUGGAAAAGGGCUAUAAUCCAGUGUCUUUAUAGAGAUGAGGAAGCAGCUUUGACAAGUAGAAGUUAAACCCUAGAUGGUCCAGGACUAUCUAGCCAUUGCUUAAUCUUCUUAAUAUGGUAAGACAAAUCCCAUUCUUCAUUUUUAUAUUAACAUAUUUCAAUUUUAUUACAGUUUUUAACUC